rnacentral:rRNA from 1 species
UUAGGGAAUCUUGCGCAAUGGGCGAAAGCCUGACGCAGCCAUGCCGCGUGAAUGAUGAAGGUCUUAGGAUUGUAAAAUUCUUUCACCGGGGACGAUAAUGACGGUACCCGGAGAAGAAGCCCCGGCUAACUUCGUGCCAGCAGCCGCGGUAAUACGAAGGGGGCUAGCGUUGCUCGGAAUUACUGGGCGUAAAGGGAGCGUAGGCGGAUAGUUUAGUCAGAGGUGAAAGCCCAGGGCUCAACCUUGGAAUUGCCUUUGAUACUGGCUAUCUUGAGUAUGGAAGAGGUAUGUGGAACUCCGAGUGUAGAGGUGAAAUUCGUAGAUAUUCGGAAGAACACCAGUGGCGAAGGCGACAUACUGGUCCAUUACUGACGCUGAGGCUCGAAAGCGUGGGGAGCAAACAGGAUUAGAAACCCCUGUAGUCC